rnacentral:pre_miRNA from 1 species
AAUAAGUGCAGUUUUACACUAUUCACGUUCAACGUUUGAUCGUUCGUCUUAUUUAAAAAUUUUUUUAUGAUUAGUAUUUUUAUUGCUAUUAGAUGAUAAAACAUGAAUAGUACUUUAUGUGUGACUAAAUUUUUUUAUUUUUUUCACAAAUUUUUCAAAUAAGACGAACGGUCAAACGUUGGACGCGGAUAUCCACGGCUGCACUUAUU